UUGGUUCUCCCGCAACGCUAACUUGUUAACUAGGUCAGGUCCGGAAGGAAGCAGCCAUAGCAGGGGUCGUGUGUGCCGGGAUGUCGCUGG
rnacentral:SRP_RNA from 2 species